rnacentral:ncRNA from 2 species
AAAUUAUCAAGAGCGACCGAGGGAUCAGGCCCUGUGACGUCCGGCAACCUCCAUUUAUGGAACGGUGCUAAUUCCUGCAGGAUGGAUUUCAUUCUGAAAGAUAAGUC